UCCCUGGGGGUCCAGUGGUUAGAAUGUCGCACUCCCAUUGCUGGUGCUCAGGUUUGAUCCCUGGUCGGGGAA
rnacentral:tRNA from 1 species